GAUGAACGCUGGCGGCGUGCCUAAUACAUGCAAGUCGAGCGAAUUGACAGAGGUGCUUGCACCUCUCGAUUUUAGCGGCGGACGGGUGAGUAACACGUGGGUAACCUACCUAUAAGACUGGGAUAACUUCGGGAAACCGGAGCUAAUACCGGAUAAUAUUUAGCUUCGCAUGAAGCAAUAGUGAAAGACGGUUCUGCCGUCACUUAUAGAUGGACCUGCGGUGUAUUAGCUAGUUGGUGAGGUAACGGCUCACCAAGGCAACGAUACAUAGCCGAACUGAGAGGGUGAUCGGCCACACUGGGACUGAGACACGGCCCAGACUCCUACGGGAGGCAGCAGUAGGGAAACUUCCGCAAUGGACGAAAGUCUGACGGAGCAACGCCGCGUGAGUGAAGAAGGUUUUCGGAUCGUAAAACUCUGUUGUAAGGGAAGAACAAGUACGUUAGUAACUGAACGUACCUUGACGGUACCUUACCAGAAAGCCACGGCUAACUACGUGCCAGCCGCCGCCGUAAAAC
rnacentral:rRNA from 1 species